ACCCUUUACCAGACACUCUCACACACAAGAUGGAGACAGCUGGUGAGGAAAAGCGUUCACUUGUCCUUCCCUCUAGGAGCUUCCACAAGGCUGGAUAUCGGGUGGAUACUCACCCAAAAGGCCAGCAGCAAUGGAUCACGAGGCAAAGAGCAUCGCAGCGAGUACAAAUUCGUGGGGUUCAGUUGACUUGUUCCCUCUGUUGGAUGCUCUGGCAAGUUACAAGGACUGACCACCAGCCCCAUAUCAUCAGAAGGGACUCUGUAUAUGGAGGUGUUGGCUGAAUGAUGUCACGAAUUACUGAGUCACGUAUCUAUCUCUCAUCAAUUGAAGGAUUUAAACGAGAAAUAUGAGAUUCUGUAGUAAU